rnacentral:lncRNA from 1 species
GGUGUCUGUGUGGUACCUACACCAGCAUUUUCCAUCAAGACCUCCAGAAAGAGAGAUCAUCUCAAGGUGAAAAUACGAAAUCCUUUUACUGCUCUCUUUAUUGUCUCACUCGAUUCAUAUUAUUAUAUGUACACAAAUCCAUGUCAUCCUGAAUUUGUUACACCGGUGCGGGAGCAAAAAAACAGAUGCACAAGUUCAUCUUUUGUGACACUCAGUUCGAAUUCUGAUUUUAGUUCAGUGCAAUUCUUAUUUCAUGUUCAGUUCAUUUUCUUAUUUUAGUAUGGUGCCUUAUUGAGUUUCUACUCUUCUGAAUUUUGGUUACCACACCCCUAUCUGGUGGUUCAGAUAUUCAGUUUUGAGAAGUACUGAGAAUAAAAAUUAAAAGCUCGUCCAUCAAAAAGGUUCACAUAGCAUCAUACUGUUUCACAUGGUAUUGUCCAGUAAGUACAUAAGUCGUGCUCUUAUUUGCAGAUCAUGCAAGUUCAACUAUAUAACCGCAUGCAUGUCUCCCUUAGUCCGACUAUUGUUGCUGCUUCAAAUCACAAAAUUUGAUUCAGCCAGUAAGUUGGUGCUAGUGGAUCAAGUCCAGAUCAACUAUUUUUAUGUUGGUUGUUACAAUAUUGUUUGAGUGAAGAACUGCAUGGAAGUAUAGCAUAAUGUAGGAGCUUUGAUUUACAAAAAAUAAGGCACCACCACCAGCCCGUCCACCACGGUUGCUGGCAGCCGUCCAAGUUGAGCGCUGAUGGUAGUCCUCUGCGUGCAUCAACGGCACUCUCUCACUAUCGCCGCCUAGCCCGCGCCCGCAGCCAUCCACCUCACCUCCCGGACAUCACCGCCAAAAGCCUCUCUCCGCCACCACGCCUGGUAGUUGAACUUACACGGGAUGACAUGUGACCAACUGCCCCGCCUCUACAAGCUUCUCAGGGAUGACUUGGUAGUUACUGGGAUUCCCUGUAGUCGCCAAAGCGCGGCGUGCUCGUGAUCUCCGCCUCCAUCAGCUCCACUUUACCAAAGCAAUCAGUCCAGAGGAGGAGGUGUAGCCAGUCCACCCGAUCUCCAACGUCUUAUUCCACCUACAAAAAAUUUCUUUUUGAGUUCUAUUCUUCAUCACAGGUUCACAGCUAUUACCUCAGUUCAAAAGUGCCAAAAAGUUUAGUUCAGACUAUACUAAAUGUUCAUAUUGUAGAUAAUAUUUGCAUUGUCUUAAAUUUUUGGAAAUAAGCUUCAGUACAAGAAAAAUGGGUCAGUCAGUUCAUCCAUAUCCACACCCCGUCGACGUGCGGCGGCAGGAAACAUUUCCAGGUUGUUUUCUUUCUCUCUUUGCUUAGCACAAAAGUGCGCAAAUGCCUAGCAGAAAUAGAACUUGUUCGUAUAAAUGGGUAGGUUCAUGAAAAUUUGUAUUAGUAGUUCGGUGAAAGGAUUCACAUCAGUUCAAAACAUUUUUGAAUAUUCAGUAAAUGUUCAAAUAGACCAGAGGCUUUCUCCUCAUUCGAAAAGCCUAAAGCAACAGUACAGUGAUAGAAAAAAAUCAAUUCAACAAAACAUGCUGGAGGUUUGUCGGAAUGACAGAAAAACAUCAGUUCAAUUUUUCUGUACCAUCGCUUUUAUUGCUAAAUGUUUUAGUCACUUGUUUUCUUGAUGCCAUCAGGUAUUGCUUAAAUACUUCGGUCUUGUGCCGCUGGUACUAGUGUGGAUGGGUAGCAAGUUCAACUACCAAUCCACACCAAGUUCAGGCAUGUUGCAUGUUUUCCACACGUUCCUAGAAGUUGUUCUAGGAUUGGAAAGCUAGCAGCAGCACUCUUGUUUUCACUAUUUAAGUUCACCUCAAUUUCUAAUUUAAGUUCUGUUCAUCGGAGUGCUUGUAAU